rnacentral:rRNA from 1 species
GGGGAAUAUUGGACAAUGGGGGAAACCCUGAUCCAGCCAUGCCGCGUGAGUGAUGAAGGCCUUAGGGUUGUAAAGCUCUUUUGUCAGGGAAGAUGAUGACGGUACCUGAAGAAUAAGCACCGGCUAACUUCGUGCCAGCAGCCGCGGUAAUACGAAGGGUGCUAGCGUUGUUCGGAAUCACUGGGCGUAAAGCGCGCGUAGGCGGCUUUUCAAGUCAGAGGUGAAAUCCCCAGGCUCAACCUGGGAACUGCCUUUGAAACUGUAAAGCUAGAGUGUUGGAGGGGAUAGCGGAAUUGCUAAUGUAGAGGUGAAAUUCGUAGAUAUUAGCAGGAACACCGGUGGCGAAGGCGGCUAUCUGGACAACAACUGACGCUGAGGCGCGAAAGCGUGGGGAUCAAAC